rnacentral:other from 1 species
UCCCGGAGCGCCUUUUGCCAGGAGCCUGCACCCCAGUGAACCCCGGAGAGCGCCGCCGGCGGGUGCUCCCAGAGCCAGGCCAUGCAGCGGUGGCCACGACAGAGCUUGGAGCGGCGGUAGCGCCUCCUGUGUGGCGGUCCACGAUGCCCCAGCCACUGUGAACAGUGCCCUACCCAGCCCUGGAGACGCUUGCCUCUGCUUGCCCGUGUGACCAGCACCAAGGAAUCCAGGGACCCAGGAGCGCAGCGAAGGCCGCCCAACGCGUGCAGAGGAGGCCGACCCGCACAGCGCAGGGCACAUACUCAGGCUGACUGGAGCUGGCACUG